UGUGAUUUAAAAUUAAUCUGCUGAUAUUAAAGGGAUUUUUUUUGGCUUUUUCCCAGCAGCAGCUGGUCUCAUCAACAAAGCCAGAGACCCCCAGUGACACUGCCUCUUUCCCCAACCCCCCACCAUAGACACUGACUCAAUGUGUUACAUUAAGCACAGCUUCUAAAUGUGAUUAACAUUGUCCUUUGGCAUAUUUCACGUUGUUUACAAUGCAUACUCUGAUGUUUUGCACAUUCCUGGGCGAAUAAUUCCACAUUUCUGCACAAUAUACAGCUGUCUCACUUAUAUAACAUUGUAAAUAUUUAUAUUACUUUUAUUAUAGCUUUGACUUACUAUUCUUCCUCCUUAAUUGCCUUGUAAGACUUAGCUCACUGUUUGUUUGACUUGCAGCAUAUGUUUUUUUUGUUUGUGCUUUCAUCCUUCUUUUUUAUUCUUGUCAGUGUUUACUAUUAUGCACCACACCAAGUCAAAUUCCUCAUUUCUAAAAACCUGCUUGGCAAUGGAACUGAUUCUGAUUGCUGUGGAUGUAAACCAAGUAUCUUUACAUUAAUUCUGUCUGUGUUUACUUUGUAACUUAAUUGUGCUUCCUCCAUCUCUACUCCUCAUAAAAAACACAUUUCUAAUAAUUUCUUUAAUGAGGCAUUUAUUGCUACUCUAAUUCAUUAAUUCAUCCACCAACCCAUUUAUCCAAUAGCCUAUUUAUCAGAGAGAAAGCCGUGGUCUAAUGAAUAAUCUAGAAAUUGAAAAACACUCAAAAAGUAUUUAUUAGUAGUUAUUUUGGAACAAAUGGGCCAAUUACACUGAUUAAUUACCAGUUCAGGCUGUAUAUCACUCAUUUCCGCUGAGGGACAAUAUAGAGGAUAUGUAGGCAUUUGAUCUGUAGAUGGAGAAUAAAGAGGAUAUUAUAUGCUAUUUGAGUAUAAUUCAGUCCUUAGAUUGUGAGAUAUGGGAACAGACGUUUAGUGUUUUAUGGCUUCCUACAAAGUAUCUGAGUUCAACAAAGACUUAAUUCUGAUAUAACUGUUGGUUUAUUUAUCGGUGCAGCAACAGAACCUUUUCCACAGACAGUUUUCCUGCCCGUUGGCUUGUGUUAACCAGUUUUCUGGCUUCGGCUGAUUCUACCAGCAGACACUGAAAGGACUCUGAUUGUUUGGUCCCUCUCUAUCUCCCUACACAUCCACCAACCACUGGAACACAUCUCCAAAGUUCUGCCGGGCCAGCUCAGCUUCCCCUCAGAAGAAGUGGUGCCACCUGCCAGAUGAAGGAGCCUUUUGAGAGGCAGCUGGCAUCGUGAUUGGACUGUACUUUGGUCUGUUCCAAUCCAGCUUCAGCUCCAGAGACGGCAGGCGGGACGAGUCAACGGAGGCCUGGUGGACGAAGGCAUGAAGCUGAGUACAAUCCAGAAAACAACAGAGGAGGAGUGCAGGGCCAGAACAACCAGAGUAGCAUCGUAUGUCUCUUAGAAAAUAUCAUAGUAUAGCCUUUGGUAUGAAAAAACACAAUCAUAUACAUCGUAGAUUGUACAAAUAACAAGUCAAAGGAAAGAGACAUACAUUUUAGAAUUGUAGUAAUUGUGGGCUGACUGAUGUACUGAUUAUCAGUAUUUUAUUUUGUACUGAUUUAUGGUAAUAAAUACAUUUUAAAGUGGC